rnacentral:tRNA from 1 species
GGGAAUGUCGUCUAAUGGCAAGACAGUAUCCUUUUACGUUACAUAUACAGGUUCAAUUCCUGUCAUUCCUA